rnacentral:rRNA from 1 species
UACGGAGGAUGCAAGCGUUAUCCGGAAUGAUUGGGCGUAAAGCGUCCGCAGGUGGCAAUGUAAGUCUGCUGUUAAAGAGUCUAGCUCAACUAGAUAAAAGCAGUGGAAACUACAUAGCUAGAGUACGUUCGGGGCAGAGGGAAUUCCUGGUGUAGCGGUGAAAUGCGUAGAUAUCGAGAGGAACACCUGCGGCGAAGGCGGGUUGCUGGGCUGAUACUGACGCUGAGGCGCGAAAGCCAGGGGAGCGAACGGG